ensembl:lncRNA
AAGGUAAAAUAGGAAACAGGAAGCAAAAUUCCAGAGCGGAGUUUUCCAAAAUAGAGCAGGUUCCUAAUUUCAUCUGCCUUGGCUGAUCUGCUCUUACAUGCACGACCACCGCGUGUUGAUUGCCAAUUAGUGGAAUGGGAACAGGUGUGUUGAUUGCCAAUUAGUGGAGUGGGAACAGGUGUGUUGAUUGCCAAUUAGUGGAGUGGGAACAGGUGUGUUGAUUGCCAAUUAGUGGAGUGGGAACAGGUGUGGUGAUUGACAAUUAGUGGAGUGGGAACAGGUGUGUUGAUUGACAAUAGACAAUAAGAUUACAAGUCCUACCUACGACAACCACUGCAUUUAAAAGCAAAGAGACAGUUUCUUUAUUUGAGAGUUUGUUUCUUGCUUAAACAGAGAGAAUUAAAAAAAAAAAAGGUUUCUAUUCAUUAAAAAAAAUAUAACAUUUUUUGUUUUGUUUGCUUGUAUAAUGUACAUAUCAAAUACAUUGUGUGUUGCCUCAGACCCCAGUCCAAGAUAUGGUAACACAAUCCCUCUCCACAACGCAUCCAAGAGCCCUCCUCCACUAUGGAGAACAGAAUAUCACACAUUCACGUUAUAUCUGCUAUUUCCAAGUUGUGUUCCUGAAUCGUAAGCUGCCAUAGCAACUGCUAUUUGGGGAAACAGUUGUAGUAUUACUUCAUAGUCAUUUGAUUUGAG